AUUGAACGCUGGCGGCAUGCCUUACACAUGCAAGUCGAACGGCAGCACGGGAGCAAUCCUGGUGGCGAGUGGCGAACGGGUGAGUAAUAUAUCGGAACGUACCUUUCAGUGGGGGAUAACGUAGCGAAAGUUACGCUAAUACCGCAUAUUCUGUGAGCAGGAAAGCAGGGGAUCGCAAGACCUUGCGCUGAUUGAACGGCCGAUAUCAGAUUAGCUAGUUGGUGAGGUAAAGGCUCACCAAGGCGACGAUCUGUAGCGGGUCUGAGAGGAUGAUCCGCCACACUGGAACUGAGACACGGUCCAGACUCCUACGGGAGGCAGCAGUGGGGAAUUUUGGACAAUGGGCGCAAGCCUGAUCCAGCCAUGCCGCGUGAGUGAAGAAGGCCUCGGUU
rnacentral:rRNA from 1 species